CUGGAUUUCCAUAUAAACUGCAAAUUAGACAUUUCUCAAUGUGGUUACAUUUCUUUGUUCAGCAUGUAAAAAACUUACAACCUACCACAAGGUGACAUGGAAAGCCAUGCAGGCUAUUCAAAAUCUACUUAUUAAUACUAACAAAAAUGUUAGAAAUUGGAUUUAAAUCAUAGGACCCCUUGCAACAAGAAUGAACUGUAUAACAUUUUAAAGACAGUAAAAGAAAAUGGAUGACUCAGAAGUCUCCAUAAAAACAUUUUGGCUCAUGAGCAGUACUUCAAAACUACUGGCAGAAAUUACAAUUUCUGGAACACGUCAUUAAAGAGGGAAGAGUAACCAAAAGGAAUGGCAGCACUGUGCAGCAGAAGUUGCCUGUUCAUCAUGUGAAACUGUCAGGCUAGAAGCAAUCUGACAACACGCUCAUUUGCAUCUCACACAGUUUAUUUAUUCUGUAACACUUCUCUUCAAAAGAAAAAACUUGGCUAUAUACAAUUCCCACCACCCCAAUCUCAAAAUCUGUCGAGUAGUGACAUGGUCAAAUAUCCAUAACACUUCAUUUAAAACAUAUUUAGACAAAUUUUGCAUGACAAAUUUCUUCUAAUAAUUUUAGCAUUAUACACUCACCAGCCACUUUAAUAAGUACACCUGCAUGUUAACCAUAACAAUCCAACAGUGAAUAGUGUGGCUGCAAAUGUGUAAAGCAUGCAGACAUGGUCAAUAGGUUUAGAUUUGUCAACUAAACAUUAGAAUGGGAAAGACUUAACUUUGGCCUUGGUAUGAUUGUUGGUGCCAGACAAGGCGGUUCCAGAAUACAAAAAAAAACCCAAAACAGCGGAUGUCCUGGGAUUUUCAUGCACUACAGUCUCACAACAUUGCUGAGAAUGGCGCAACAAACAAAAUUCAGUGAUCAGCAGAUUUGUGGUAAAAGACACUUUGUUAACAAGAGCGCUAAAGGGGUCAAUACUAGGUAAGUUUACUUAAUAAAGUGACAGGUGUAUUAUUGUUUUUAAACUUUAAUUCUGUUAGAAGAGCAAAACAUUUCCCAAACCUACCUAACUCCAUCCAACUAACGAGGCAGUUUUAGCAUGGGCAACACCAUGGAGGACUUCCAAAAUGUUAAAUGAGGCAACUGUGUGCAACAUCCAACUCAAGUGGUUGAUCACAGCUGUUGACGGUUAGUUGUGUCCAAAUGGGUUAACAGGCAGAAUCAGUACAUCAUAAAAGAAAUGAGAUUUCCUCAAUGGUGCUGCCUGUGUAUAUAUCCUAAUGGGAAUUAUAUGGCCGCUUUAUCAUUCUCAUGUAUGGCCUCUAUUCUAGCACUGGUUUCAGAGGGUGGGGGGAAUUCUGUACAUUUAAGGCAAGUAAAAUCAAAAGUUCAAAUCGACAAACACAAAAAAAUGAAUAAAGACAAAAUUGUUCACUAUAUACAUCCAGGAGUUGAAACAUGCCAGAUCUGUGUGUCUUGUGUAUGAAUGUAACAGAGCAUGAGUAUAGUUGUACAUUACAUGUUUAAAGUCAUUUUUAGAGUCCAUGUAUGUAGGUGUUUAUGUGUUUCAUAACUCCUGGUUGAGACAUUGAUCAGCGGAGCUCAGUCACUCCCUGUCAAGUCUAGUCCAGGACAAAGCUGGUUUCGUGGAGUCUCUUCUCUACAGACUGCUCCUCUCAGACCAUCUCAUGACCAGCUGUGGUCCAGAGCAGCCUAAUUCUCCAGGGUAUAACAGUCCACUGGUCUCAGCCUCUAAUACACCUCCUUUACAACCAAGUCAUCCAUGAGGUAUUUUCUGGGCCUGCAAAAACAAUAAGACUAUUAAGACAUGGACGAUUAAAUACAAAAC
ensembl:lncRNA